rnacentral:lncRNA from 1 species
AAUAGCUCCUGCAGGGAGCUAUUUACAAAAGAGGUGAGGUUUCCACAGCUAUGAGACCCUGAAGAGAGGAGCUGAUCCGAGGAUGUCCUGGCGAUACGGCCAAGGACAUCCCUCUGGGAGCUGAGAGUGGAAGUGGGAGCCCUUUAUUUUUGCCCAGCGCCGGCAUCAAGGCUGUCCUCAGAACUACCUGAAACAUAACAGUGCACAAUUCACUGGAGGAGGAAGAGUGUGGAGAGCCUCAAAAAGAAGACAGGAUCCUGGGGAAGCCAGUGCAGGGACGUCACGCUCUGUCUCACACGCCUUGACUGCAAAGACAUAGCACUGAUAGAGGUCCUGGUUCUCAAGCCUUUGCACUUUGCACUGAAAGAAAAUGACACCACCAGCUUUCCUGGUUCUCCAGUUUGCAGGCAACAGAUCACGGGACUCCUUGGCCUUCAUAACUGCAGGAGCCAAUUCCCACAACAAAUCCAUGUGAAUCUCAUUUCUCUUUGGGGAUGAAUUGAGGUCUGCCUCCGAAAACGAGAAGUCCAGCCUCGCAGGGAGAACCCGUGGCGUGUCGCCGGCUGCUCUCUCUUCCUCUACCUGGAAGGGGCAUCGGGGGUUGCCCGGUUCAGCCCCAGAAGGAAAGUGAAACUGACAGGAGAGAAACAGCCUCUCCAAAGUCACAUGGACACGAGCCAUCAUUCCCAACCAACCAAAGGACAGGGCGUCAGCCCGAAGACCCUGUGUUCAUCCCAGAACGGCUACAUUGGACAUGAAUUUUGAGAAUCAGUCUCUGAGGUUCUAGAUGGUGCUUUUGUUUCCAUCAGUGACUUUCCUGUGCCCACCCAGAGCGGAAAACAGGGAUUCUAUGAAGAAGUAGGAGCUCUCUCCCCAGGCCCCACACACAGCCUGGCAACCCUGCCUCCCAUGGGCACCGCUACUCCUGCCCCAGCACUGACUGGGCAUGGGAGGACUCCUAAACCACCACCACCACCUCUCCUAAUGUCAUGGGCAAGAAGGGGGGAAUUCCUGCACCUAAUAACUCAAAUCUGGUAGCCAAGCUGAUUUGGGACAGGGAUAGACAGUUAUUGUUAAAGAGAAUAUUAGAUUAAAGUGUACAAUUAAAAGAUCUUGUCAGCCAUGUGCGGUGGCUCACGCCUGUAAUCCCAACACUUUGGGAGGUUGAGGUGGGUGGAUCACUUGAGGUUAGGAGUUUGAGACCAGCCUGGCCAACAUGGUGAAACCCUGUCUUUACUAAAAGUACAGAAAUUUAGCAGGGCGUGGUGGUGCACACCUGUAAUCCCAGCUACUCAGGAGGGUGAGGCAGGAGAAUUGCCUGAACCCUGGAGGCAGGGUUGCAGUGAGCCGAGAUCACACCACUGCACUCCAGCCUGGGCGACAGGGCAAGACUCCAUCAAAAAAAAAAAAAAUACUAAUCAUCCCUUCAAGCACUUACUUUAACAUUCAACAAACAUCAGGCUCCUAGCAAGUGUAUGGGAAUUAAGUGUGGACAGAUUAUUAGUAUGCCAUCCUUGCCUCUCGAACAGGUGAUGACUUGUAAGAAUGAACUCUUCAGUGUGGGGCAGGGGACGGAGCAUGCAUUAGAGUCAGACAGAACUAGAUAGAGUUCUAGACAGAGCUCUGCUGCUUCCUAGAAUAAGACUUGAGCACAUUAUCUAAUCUCUCAGUAUUUAUCUAUAAAGUUGGCAUAAUAAUGAAAAUCUCCCCCAGAUCUUGCAAGGAUUCAGUAACGUAGUACCGUGCUUGGCACAGCAUAGUGUUGGGUACAUAUUAGACAGUUAAGAUUCCAGCCUCCAAUCCUCCUCCUUCAGUUUCUUCAUCUCUAAAGUUUGCUAUUGUGUUGGCUUUACCUACCUAUAGCUAUGAACUGAAUGUGUGUAUGUCCCCAAAAUUCAUAUGUUGAAGCCUUACUCUCCAAUGUGACAGUAUUUGGAGGUGGGGCCUUUGGGGGAUGAUCAGGUCAUAAGGGUGGGGCCCUGAUGAAUGGAAUUAGUGCCCUUAUGAGAACAGACACAAGAGCACUCUCUCACUCUCUCUGCCACAUGAAGAUACAGUGAGAAAAAGCCACCUGCCAACCAGGAAGGGGACCCUCGCCAGACUCUGGAUCGGCCUGCUCCUUGAUCUUAGACUUCCCAGCCUCCCACCUUCAGAACUCAGGAAUAAAAUGUUGUUGCUCAAACCACCCAGCCAAGCCAAGCCAAGACACUAUCUCACAAACCCAGACUUCCUGACACAUAAACCCAAGAGCACCACACAGAUACAUUUCCUCAUAAGGACUGUCAAGUCUCUGAUUGAAAAAAUUAAGAAUUCUAUUUAAGGUGGGUGGAUAGACUGGGAAUGUGAAAGGACUCUACAAAAAUGAAUGAUACAUCUUUGCUUAGAUCUGGAAUAUGCUGGAAAAUACUAAGUCACAGACCAAGUCCUCCUUUGCAAUGUCAGCAAACUUUGACCCAAGGGCCGAAUUUGUUUCCCCUCCUGCCUAUUUUUCUCUUACACUGGAACACAGCCAUGCUCAUUCAUGGCUGGAACUGGACAGAUGAAUAAUGUAGGCUAGGCGGCUGGCCCAAGUCCUGACCUCGUGCCUCCAAAAGCAAACACAGAGGUGAAAAUGGAGACUUGUUUGUUUGAACUCUCACUGCCUAAUUUAAAAAAGAAAAGGCAAAAAGAAAAACAAACCUCCCACCAUCCUAUUUCAUCAAUGUAGACACUGAUGGGUUUUGUUUUGUUUUGUUUUGUUUUUCUUUUCUUUUCUUUUCUUUUUUUUUUUUUUUUUUUUCCAUGUCUUACUUUUUGAAACAUGGAACUACAGCCCUCUACUGGUGCAAGGAAUGAAGCCAAUUUCUCAAUCAUCGAGGCUACCCUGCCAUCUUGUGGCCAUGUGAGGGAUGCACACGUGUAGAUCAAUUUCUCAGCAUCACAAAACAGUCUAGGUAAGACGUUGGAAGGGUUCUUCAAAAUAUUCACAUGGACUUUCAUUUAAGACAUUUCUUGUAUCGUUUGGGGAAAACAUCAAUGGGAUUUGGAGUCAGAAUGUUGGUUCCUGCGUUUAAGCUCUGUCAGUGAUUUGUGACAUCAUCCCUGAGCAAAUAAUUUCAUUUUUAGGAACCUGUUUUCUCAUCUGUAAAAUGGAGGUCAUAAUAAAUGUUUGAUUCUUGGAGUUUUGUAGUGUUUACAUAAGAUCAUGCAUAUGAAGAGUGCCUUGUCCACUUUAAAAUCAUAUGCACAUGAAUAUAUUAAAAAUCCCUAGAGAAGUAGUUUCUAUCAUCAUACUUGGUAAAACUUUAGAAACUUGAAAUCGGUUUCAAUGACUAACCUUACUAUAGUCUAAAGCCCUGGCCUCAGAAUAAAGAGAAGGACUUUACACUGUCUCAUGCUUUCCUAAAGAUACAUACUGCCAAGUCCUCUCCGUUUUCAUUUUUCUGAUUUAAGUCAAGUCAGUUUCUUCGGCCUUGCUUCACGGGGCCAGCCAAUGAAUAAUGAGGAGUGUAGAUGCGUCUUGGGAGGUGAAAUAACUUUGCUUACAUGGAAUCGCAAAGUGCUCAUUAGUGUGGGGGCUUAGGUAUUUGGCUCCCUCGUCUUUUGGAAAAAGCCCAAACCAGACACAGCAGCUAAAGGAGCCCUCAUAGGAUGUCUGUGCUGCACGAUGCUGACGCAAGAUGACUCAUCACACACUAGCUGGGUUUGGCCACUGCUUCUGUGCAGCUGUUUGCAGAAAGCCAAAAAUUUCUGGUGCCAAGCUGGGGGCUUGGUGAACAAACCCAAAUGUUACUGUCCUCAUCUCCUGCUAAAUUUCAGUCCUGCUCGGGCCGUGGCCCAACCAGUGUUAAGUCUACUGAUGAAAGUCCAAGUCACUGUCCUCUGUGCCCUCUCGUUACUGUGUCCUCAGGUUACUGAAUUUAUCAUUCAUCUCACUGAUGCAUAAGGUAGGCUUAGGGUACAUUUGGCAGCAGGAUCAAUAGUUUUGCAAAGAGAAAAUAGAUGCCAGCCAAAGGAACAUCGAAUCCUUGGGCGAAUGAUGAGGACGGAUGACUCAUGUCCAGGCCAUCUUCCCUCCGGGCUGGGCUCCGCUGUCUCCAUACUCACCUUCUGUCUCCAAGUUUGGUUCACUAGGCCCAUCCUCAGGAAGCCUCCCUUAGGAUCCAGGAUGAGUCACCAGCACCCCAAGUGUGCUCGCUGGUGAGGAUUAUAGGAGGGGGAGGUAGGCUGUGUCUACAGGAGAUCCUGGGGCACAUCUGGGGGAUGGAGGUGAAAGGUUAUCCCUCUGUCCUACAGAAUGAGGGUCCCCCUUCAAUCCCCUAGAGGUGACAUGCCAG